UACGUAGGCAGCGAGCGUUGUUCGGAAUUACUGGGCGUAAAGAGUGUGUAGGCGGUGCUCUAAGUUCGGUGUGAAAUCUCCCGCUUAACUGGGAGGGUGCGCCGGAAACUGGAGUGCUCGAGCGUGGGAGAGGAAAGCGGAUCCUGGUGUAGCGGUGAAAUGCGUAGAUAUCAGGAGGAACACCUGCGGUGUAGACGGCUUUCUGGACCAUUGCUGACGCUGAGACACGAAAGCGUGGGUAGCAAACAGG
rnacentral:rRNA from 1 species